GGCCUAAACAGGAUGUAAAUAUUUGCGGGCGGUGGGGGAGAGGUGGUUUUUGAGCUGGGGCUGUCCUAAGCAGGGGCCCGCCCGCCUCCAUCCCCUCUCCAGGGUGGGUGUGGGGGGCAUGUGCAGGCUGUACCCCUGAUUGGGGCCCGGGUUUGGGACUCCAGUACCCUCCGAGGGAGUCCCCUAACCUUCUGAUCACCCCCGCCCCGCCCCAUUCUCUUAAUCAACCGGGUUCCCCCAUCCGCCUUGCUGAGACUUAGCACUGGCUUCCCGGCGCUUGCGAGGUGCGUGGCCAGCUCCCCAGCCUCACCUGCCCUUCCUGCACCUGGACACCCUUUGUCUCGGCUGCGCGGAGUUCCCGCCAUCCCCAGGCUGUACAGGUAUUGCCCCUCGCUCGCUUCCACCGCUGGUUUCGCCGGGACUUAACUUACCUCUGUGAGCUUUGACUUGUCUCCAAGACCCCCCUCCCCGAGUUUGCACGGACUACGCCCUCUUCUGGAACCCGGGCCGCCCCGCCUCUCGGGCUCUCCCGGGAGAAUAACUCCUGCUCGGUUCUCAGGGCCUGGCCUGAGCAUCACUUCCUGGAAGAAACUGUCCCUAAUGCUUCUCCACCAGCUCUGAGCUCAGAGUCGCUCUGCUCCACGCGUGGCAUCUGCCGUGCUGAGCGGAAGCCCUUCCUCAUCUGUAUCCCAUACUGGGGACAGGGCCCUGACUUCGGUCCUAAAUAAAUAUUUGUUGAAUAAAUGAACAGGUGGAUGGACGGACGGACCCAUAAAGACAUGGUCCAAUUACCGCCUGCGUCUGUGGCCUUCUCUGACUUGCCGCUAUCCCCAGCUGGCACAUCUGCACCAUGGAUGCAAAGCUUCUCUUUGGGGGCCUUUCACACCGCACCAGCUUGUCUCUAGCGUGUGUUCCCCCCACCCCACCCCACAGCCUGUGUACAGUGUCCCUGCACCUAGGGCACUUCCUGGGGCAUAACAAGCUGCAAUCUUGGUAGAAUCUUGCAGGGUAUCGAAGAUUUCCAAAGUUAUACCCUGCACCCCACAACCUCUGGCAAGAUGCAAACAUUCUUUCUGUGAGAUGCACCUUCUUGGAAUUGGGGCCCUUGGGGCUUCCUGAAGAAUGUGGUGUCUGCACAAGCGUGCAGGAGUGGGCAUGCUCAGGCUAUACUUCACUUCGUGACUCCUUCAGAGGGAGAGAGAGAAUGAACAGCGAGAGGAGUAGAGGGAGAGAGAGAAUCCCAAGCAGACUCCACACUGAACACAGAGCCUGAUGCAGGGCUUGAUGUCACGACCCUCAGAUCAUGACCUGAGGUGAAAUCAAGACUCAGAGGCUUACCCAGCUGAGCCACCCAGGCACACCAAGAAUUUUGUUUUCUGUCUUUUUUUCUCCUUUCCAUGCCCUUCGUCUUUUGUAUAACUAACUGCCCUGGUGAGGUUAAGAGUCAGGGAGCUUAGCCUAGGUGCAGAUUCAAUUUCCUGGGAUUUUGCAGAUUUGUUAGGAGAGAAGAGGAGGAAUUCACUUGGGCUUGCCCUUGACCUUUCCUUUGGUUUGUUGCUUGACCUGUGGUUUCCCCAACAUGCCCUGGCCCCCCCAGUGUGGCUGCUGUAUGGCCUACAGGAAUAGCUGGAGUUUCUAAGCUCUGAGCUCUGUUUGGGAUCAAGUCCAACAAGUCACAGAAGGCUCAAUAUAAAGAAGCCCUGUUAUACAGUUCUGCCCCAAAGGUCACCUCCUUCUCAGAUUCUCCUGGCAUCCUAAGUGUAUCAGCAAAUGCAGAGUCCUGUGGGUGCCAACAGGCCUCCUGUAGAGUGGGAUUUUUGGAAAAGAACCAUGAGAGAGUUAAGAAUUA